rnacentral:rRNA from 1 species
UGAGUACGAGAUGCUACGGCAUCGAAGCAGUCUAUGUCAUACUUCCAAGAAAAGCUUGCAAUGUCAUAAACAAAUAAUGCCUGUACCAUAACCGACACAGGUGGGUAGGUAGAGUAUACUAAUGGGCGCGAGAUAACUCUCUCUAAGGAACUCGGCAAAAUGACUCCGUAACUUCGGGAGAAGGAGUGCCUUAUUUUUAUAAGGUUGCAAUAACAAGAUCCAAGCAACUGUUUACCAAAAACACAGGUCUCCGCUAAGUCGUAAGACGAUGUAUGGGGGCUGACGCCUGCCCAGUGCCAGAAGGUUAAAGAAGUUGGUUAGCAUUAGCGAAGCUGAUAACUGAAGCCCUGGUGAACGGCGGCCGUAACAAUAACGGUCCUAAGGUAGCGAAAUUCCUUGUCGGGUAAGUUCCGACCCGCACGAAAGGCGUAAUGAUUUGGAUACUGUCUCGGAGAGGGGCUCGGUGAAAUAGACUUGUCUGUGAAGAUGCGGACUACCUGCACCUGGACAGAAAGACCCUAUGAAGCUUUACUGUAACUUGAGAUUGAAAUUGGACUUUAUCUGCGCAGUAUAGGUGGGAGACGUUGAAAAUAUUCUUGCGGGAAUAUUGGAGUCAUCAGUGAGAUACCACUCUUAUAAUGUUAGAUUUCUAACUUUGUAUCAUUAUCUGGUCAAAGAACAGUUUCAGGCGGGCAGUUUGACUGGGGCGGUCGCCUCCCAAACGUUAACGGAGGCGCACAAAGGUUUCCUCUGAACGUGUAGAAAUCGUAUCUAGAGUGUAAAGGCAUAAGGAAGCUUGACUGUGAGACCUACAAGUCGAGCAGGGACGAAAGUCGGUCUUAGUGAUCUGACGGUGCUGAGUGGAAAGGCCGUCACUCAACGGAUAAAAGUUACUCUAAGGAUAACAGGCUGAUCUCCCCCAAGAGUUCACAUCGACGGGGAGGUUUGGCACCUCGAUGUCGGCUCAUCGCAUCCUGGGGCGGUAGUACGUCCCAAGGGUUGGGCUGUUCGCCUAUGAAAGCGGUACGCGAGCUGGGUUCAGAACGUCGUGAGACAGUUCGGUCCAUAUCCGGUGUAGGCGUUAGAAUAUUGAGAGGAGCCUUCUUUAGUACGAGAGGACCGAGAAGGACAUACCUCUGGUGUACCAGUUAUCGUGCCAACGGUAAACGCUGGGUAGCCAUGUAUGGAGAGGAUAUCCGCUGAAAGCAUCUAAGUGGGAAGCCCACCUCAAGAUAAGUAUUCUCC